rnacentral:rRNA from 1 species
GUGCCAGCCGCCGCGGUAAUACGGAGGGUGCAAGCGUUGUCCGGAUUUAUUGGGUUUAAAGGGUGCGUAGGCGGCCCUGUAAGUCAGUGGUGAAAUACUGCAGCUUAACUGUAGCAUUGCCAUUGAUACUGUAGGGCUUGAGUACAGAUGAGGUAGGCGGAAUUGAUGGUGUAGCGGUGAAAUGCAUAGAUACCAUCAAGAACACCGAUUGCGAAGGCAGCUUACUAAGCUGUAACUGACGCUGAGGCACGAAAGCGUGGGGAUCGAACAGGAUUAGAUACCCCCGUAGUCC